rnacentral:rRNA from 1 species
UACGAAGGGGGCUAGCGUUGCUCGGAAUCACUGGGCGUAAAGGCGCGUAGGCGGGCUCUUAAGUCAGGGGUGAAAGCCCAAGGCUCAACCUUGGAAUUGCCUUUGAUACUGUUCGGCUCGAGACCGGAAGAGGUUGUGGACUGCGGAGUGUAGAGGUGAAAUUCGUAGAUAUUCGCAAGAACACCAGUGGCGAAGGCGGACCAACUGGUCCGGUUCGUGGCACGC